rfam:Loxodonta africana unplaced genomic scaffold scaffold_88, whole genome shotgun sequence.
GUAGCACAAACAGUUAAUGUGUUUGGCUGCUAACCAAAAGGUUGGAGGUUCAAGUCCACCC